UAUGGUAUAACUUAGUGGCAGACGGGUGAGUAAUGUAUAGGAAUCUACCUAGUAGUACGGAAUAAUUGUUGGAAACGGCAACUAAUACCGUAUACGCCCUACGGGGGAAAAAUUUAUUGCUAUUAGAUGAGCCUAUAUUAGAUUAGCUAGUUGGUGGAGUAAUAGCCUACCAAGGCAAUGAUCUAUAGCUGAUCUGAGAGGAUGAUCAGCCACACUGGAACUGAGAUACGGUCCAGACUCCUACGGGAGGCAGCAGUGGGGAAUAUUGGACAAUGGGCGAAAGCCUGAUCCAGCCAUGCCGCAUGAGUGAAGAAGGCCUUUGGGUUGUAAAGCUCUUUUAGUGAGGAAGAUAAUGACGGUACUCACAGAAGAAGUCCUGGCUAACUCCGUGCCAGCAGCCGCGGUAAUACGGAGAGGGCUAGCGUUAUUCGGAAUUAUUGGGCGUAAAGGGCGCGUAGGCUGGUUAAUAAGUUAAAAGUGAAAUCCCGAGGCUUAACCUUGGAAUUGCUUUUAAAACUAUUAAUCUAGAGAUUGAAAGAGGAUAGAGGAAUUCCUGAUGUAGAGGUAAAAUUCGUAAAUAUUAGGAGGAACACCAGUGGCGAAGGCGUCUAUCUGGUUCAAAUCUGACGCUGAAGCGCGAAGGCGUGGGGAGCAAACAGGAUUAGAUACCCUGGUAGUCCACGCUGUAAACGAUGAAUGUUAAAUAUGGGAGGUUUACUUUCUGUAUUACAGCUAACGCGUUAAACAUUCUGCCUGGGGACUACGGUCGCAAGAUUAAAACUCAAAGGAAUUGACGGGGACCCGCACAAGCGGUGGAGCAUGUGGUUUAAUUCGAUGCAACGCGAAAAACCUUACCACUUCUUGACAUGGAAAUC
rnacentral:rRNA from 1 species